rnacentral:rRNA from 1 species
UACGGAGGGUGCAAGCGUUAAUCGGAAUUACUGGGCGUAAAGCGCACGCAGGUGGGUGAGUCAGUCGAUUGUGAAAGCCCUGGGCUUAACCUGGGAAUUGCAGUCGAUACUACUCAGCUAGAGUAUGGGAGAGGGCAGUGGAAUUCCCGGUGUAGCGGUGAAAUGCGUAGAUAUCGGGAGGAACAUCAGUGGCGAAGGCGGCUGCCUGGCCCAAUACUGACACUCAGGUGCGACAGCGUGGGGAGCAAACAGG